GAACUUAAGCAUAUCAAUAAGCGGAGGAAAAGAAACCAACAGGGAUUGCCCUAGUAACGGCGAGUGAAGCGGCAACAGCUCAAAUUUGAAAUCUGGCCCUUGGGUCCGAGUUGUAAUUUGUAGAGGAUGUUUUUGGUGCGGUAUCUUCCGAGUUCCUUGGAACAGGACGCCUUAGAGGGUGAGAGCCCCGUACGGUUGAAUGCCUAGCCUCUGUAAAACUCCUUCGACGAGUCGAGUAGUUUGGGAAUGCUGCUCUAAAUGGGAGGUAAAUUUCUUCUAAAGCUAAAUACUGGCCAGAGACCGAUAGCGCACAAGUAGAGUGAUCGAAAGAUGAAAAGCACUUUGAAAAGAGGGUUAAAUAGCACGUGAAAUUGUUGAAAGGGAAGGAUUUAUGACCAGACCUUUUCUGGGCGGAUCAUCCGGUGUUCUCACCGGUGCACUUCGCUCAGUUUAGGCCAGCAUCGAUUUUCGGUGGGGGAUAAAAGCUUUAGGAAUGUGGCUCCUCCGGGAGUGUUAUAGCCUAUUGUAUAAUACCCUACUGGGGAUCGAGGUACGCGCUUCUGCAAGGAUGCUGGCGUAAUGGUUAUCAAUCACCCGUCUUGAAACACGGACCAAGGAGUCGAACAUUUGUGCAAGUGUUUGGGUGUUAAACCCUCACGCGUAAUGAAAGUGAACGGAGGUGAGAGCCCUUACGGGUGCAUCAUCGACCGAUCCUGAUGUUUUCGGAUGGAUUUGAGUAAGAGCAUAACUGUUCGGACCCGAAA
rnacentral:rRNA from 1 species